GAUGAAGAACGCAGCGAAAUGCGAUAAGUAAUGUGAAUUGCAGAUUUCAGUGAAUCAUCGAAUCUUUGAACGCACCUUGCACCCUUUGGUAUUCCGAAGGGUAUGCUCGUUUGAGUGUCAUUGUACUCUCACACUUCUAAUUCCUUUCGGGAUUGGGAGCGGUGGACUUGGGUGUUGCUGCUUUAGUUGUGGCUCACCUCAAAUAAGUUAGUGCAACUCUUGGUUGGACAUAGUACGGCGUGAUAAGUGUCUUCGCCGGCGCCUCUGUAAGGAGGGUGGCCGAUCGGGAGCUCUGUGCUUCAAACCGUCUUCGGACAAUCUUUGACAACUUGACCUCAAAUCGAGUAGGACUACCCGCUGAACUUAAGCAUAUCAAUAAGCGGAGGA
rnacentral:misc_RNA from 1 species